AUCUGACCCAGCGGCUCUGGAGGGACAUCUGUGCGCAAAUUUUUGAGACCUCGGGGGAUCUAAAUGCGGCGGCUCAGGAGAAAUAUGUCAAACUGGUUACCACGUGUUGGCGAUCUAUCCCGGACCGCUUCAGGAGGGAUUUUAACAAGGAGGUUCAGGCCCCGAGUGGCUCCGGAGGAACCUCAGGGACCACAUACAUCCAUACGACGGCCCUGGGGUUCCUACGAAAGGCAAUGGCACC